rnacentral:rRNA from 1 species
UACGUAGGUGACCAGCGUUGUCCGGAUUUACUGGGCGUAAAGAGCGCGCAGGCGGUCGUUCAAGUCGCGUGUGAAAGCCCCCGGCUCAACUGGGGAGGGUCACGCGAUACUGAUCGACUCGAAGGCAGGAGAGGGUAGUGGAAUUCCCGGUGUAGUGGUGAAAUGCGUAGAUAUCGGGAGGAACACCAGUGGCGAAGGCGACUUACUGGACACAUAUUGACGCUGAGGUGCGAAAGCGUGGGGAGCAAACAGG